rnacentral:siRNA from 1 species
CGUUGAUUCUUGUGAAUACCGA